rnacentral:rRNA from 1 species
UACGUAGGGUGCGAGCGUUAUCCGGAAUGAUUGGGCGUAAAGCGUCCGCAGGUGGCAAUGUAAGUCUGCUGUCAAAGCGUCUGGCUCAACCAGAUAAAGGCAGUGGAAACUACAUAGCUAGAGUAAGGUAGGGGUAGAGGGAAUUCCUGGUGUAGCGGUGAAAUGCGUAGAGAUCAGGAAGAACACCGGUGGCGAGAGCGCUCUGCUGGACCUUAACUGACACUGAGGGACGAAAGCUAGGGGAGCGAAUGGG